rnacentral:rRNA from 1 species
UUGUCCUACGGGACGCAGCAGUGGAGAAUAUUGCACAAUGGGGGAAACCCUGAUGCAGCGGUGCCGCGUGGAGGAAGAAGUAUUUCGGUAUGUAAAGCUCUAUCAGCAGGGAAGAUAAUGACGGUACCUGACUAAGAAGCUCCGGCUAAAUACGUGCCAGCAGCCGCGGUAAUACGUAUGGAGCAAGCGUUAUCCGGAUUUACUGGGUGUAAAGGGAGCGCAGACGGCAAGGCAAGUCUGAUGUGAAAGUCCGAGGCUCAACCUCGGGACUGCAUUGGAAACUGUCUGCCUAGAGUGCAGGCGAG